rnacentral:misc_RNA from 1 species
GAAAUGCGAUAACUAAUGUGAAUUGCAGAAUUCAGUGAAUCAUCGAGUCUUUGAACGCACAUUGCGCCCCCUGGUAUUCCGGGGGGCAUGCCUGUCCGAGCGUCAUUGCUGCCCUCAAGCACGGCUUGUGUGUUGGGCUCCGUCCCCCCGGGGACGGGCCCGAAAGGCAGCGGCGGCACCGAGUCCGGUCCUCGAGCGUAUGGGGCUUUGUCACCCGCUCUGUAGGCCCGGCCGGCGCCAGCCGACAACCCAUCAUCCUUUUCAGGUUGACCUCGGAUCAGGUAGGGAUACCCGCUGAACUUAA